GGAUUAGAUACCCUGGUAGUCCACGCCGUAAACGAUGUUCACUCGCUGUUUGUUCGCUAUUAGGACAAGUGGCAAAGCGAAAGUAUUAAGUGAACCACCUGGGGAGUACGAUCGCAAGGUUGAAACUCAAAGGAAUUGACGGGGGCCCGCACAAGCGGAGGAACAUGUGGUUUAAUUCGAUGAUACGCGAGGAACCUUACCCGGUCUUAAAUGUUGAUUGAUUUAACUAGAGAUAGUUUUUCUCUUCGGAGCGAUUAACAAGGUGCUGCAUGGUUGUCGUCAGCUCGUGCCG
rnacentral:rRNA from 1 species